GAGUAGGAGAUGCAAUCACGCAGUACACUCAGAAAGUGCUCUACUGUGAGAGUUGGGAAAUGCCUCUGCUGAUUAAGUAUGGAGGUCAGCAGAGGCAAUCCCUCGGAGGUGGGAUUAAGGGCUGGAUUAGGAGUUGAAUUAUGAGUAGUUUUAGGUGUUGGAUUAUAGAGAGCGUUAGGAUUAUGGUUUGGAUUAGGGGCAAGAUUAGAGGAACA